UACAUAGAGAAACCCUGUCUCAGAGGAGG
rnacentral:piRNA from 1 species